rnacentral:tRNA from 1 species
GGGGAUGUAGCUCAGUGGUGUAGCACCUGCCUGGCAAGCACGAGGCCCUGAGUUUGAUUCCCAGUACCA